rnacentral:rRNA from 1 species
UGUUGCUUGCAAGGGCGUAUGGUGGAUGCCUUGGCAGACAGGACCGAUGAAGGACGUUUGAGGCUGCGAUAUGCCUCGGGGAGCCGCCAACAGGGCUUUGAUCCGAGGAUUUCCGAAUGGGGGAACCCACCGACCGUCAUGGGUCGGUACCGGCUUCGGCCGGGGGGUACGCAGGGAAGUGAAACAUCUCAGUACCUGCAGGAAAGGAUAUUCCGUGAGUAGUGGCGAGCGAAAGCGGAUGAUGGCCAAACCUUGCGCGUGUGAUACCCGUCGGGGGUUGCGCGCGGGGUGUUGCGGGAUCGCGUGCGCCGGCUCCGACGGGCCGGCCGGCAGUUGCAGAAAACCAUGUGUCAGGGGAACCGGGUUGAAUACCGGGCCGCAGAGGGUGAGGGCCCCGUACCUGAACGCGCAUGGUCUGCCGAUCGCGUCUCCCAAGUAGCACGGGUCCCGUGGAACCCCGUGCGAAUCCGCCCAGACCGUUGGGUAAGCCUGAAUAUUCCUGUCUGACCGAUAGCGAACGAGUACCGUGAGGGAAAGGUGAAAAGUACCCCGGGAGGGGAGUGAAACAGUCUCUGAAACCGUGCGCCUACAAUCCGUCGGAGCCCUUUUGUGGGGUGACGGCGUGCCUAUCGAAAAAUGAGUCUGCGAGUCAGUGGCAUGUGGCGAGCAUAACCCGUGUGGGGUAUGCGUAGCGAAGGCGAGUCUUAAAAGGCGUUUGAGUCGCGUGUCCUGGACCCGAAGCGGGAUGAUCUAGCCCUGAGCAGGUUGAAGCGCGGGUAAGACCGCGUGGAGGACCGAACCCACCUGGGUUGAAAACCGGGGGGAUGACUUGGGGCUAGGGGUGAAAGGCCAAUCAAAUUCCGUGAUAGCUGGUUCUCUCCGAAAUGCAUUUGGGUGCAGCGUCGGGUCAUUACGUCCCGGGGGUAGAGCUACUGGAUGCUUGCGGGCCCGUAUCGGGUACCAACAGCAACCAAACUCCGAAUACCGGUGACGCGUAUCCCGGCAGUGAGUCGGCGGGGGAUAAGCUUCGUCGUCGAAAGGGAAACAGCCCAGACCGUCGUCUAAGGUCCCGAAGCGUGUGCUAAGUGGGAAAGGAUGUGGAGUCGCAUAGACAGCCAGGAGGUUGGCUCAGAAGCAGCCACCCUUGAAAGAGUGCGUAACAGCUCACUGGUCUAGUGGUUCCGCGCCGACAAUGUAGCGGGGCUCAAGCACACCACCGAAGACGCGGCAGUAUUUUGUACUGGGUAGGAGAGCGUCCCAUGAGGGGCGAAGCGGCCGUGUGAACGCGCCGUGGACUUCAUGGGAGUGAGAAUGCAGACAUGAGUAGCGAGAGACGGGUGAAGAUCCCGUCCGCUGGAUGACCAAGGGUUCCAGGGCCACGUUCAUCGUCCCUGGGUGAGUCGGGUCCUAAGGCGAGGCCGACAGGCGUAGUCGAAUGGAUGAACGGGUCGAUAUUCCCGUACCGGCUUUCAGCCGCCAAAACCGAGGCUUGGAGUACUAACCUCCGGGUCCGGGCUUACUGCUCCUUCGGGGGCGGGAUGCCCUGGCCUGUUGGGACCGAUCCUUGUAGUAGGUCAGCGCAGGAGUGACGCAGAAGGGUAGCCGGCCGCGGAGGUGGUCUUCCGUGGUCAAGCACGCAGGGCGUGGGACAGGCAAAUCCGUCCCGCAUGGGUCCGAGGUGCGAUGAUGGGGGCCUUAUGGCCCGAUAUCCGGUGAUCCCGGCUGCCGAGAAAAGCUUCGGCGUCAGGCUCGAAGCCGCCCGUACCCCAAACCGACACUGGUGGUCAGGUAGAGAAUACCAAAGCGAUCGAGCGAAUCCUGGUCAAGGAACUCGGCAAAUCACUCCCGUUCCUUCGGUUUAAGGGAGACCCCCGAUGGUGAACCGCCUCGCGCGGGGAGCUUUUGGGGGUGGCACAGACCAGGGGGUAGCGACUGUUUACCAAAAACACAGGUGCAUGCGAAGGCGCAAGCCGCUGUAUAUGCACUGACGCCUGCCCGGUGCCGGAAGGUUAAGAGGAUCCGUCAGCCUUCGGGUGAAGCGGUGAAUUCAAGCCCCGGUAAACGGCGGUGGUAACUAUAACCAUCCUAAGGUAGCGAAAUUCCUUGUCGGGUAAGUUCCGACCUGCACGAAUGGCGU